ensembl:lncRNA
GCAGGGAUGAGAGUUGAGGGUGGUUGUAAUAGCAGCGAUGAGAGGUAAGGGUGGUUGUAAUAGCAGGGAUGAGAGUUGAGGGUGGUUGUAAUAGCAGGGAUGAGAGUUGAGGGUGGGUGUAAUAGCAGGGAUGAGAGUUGAGGGUGGGUGUAAUAGCAGGGAUGAGAGGUGAGGGUGGUUGUAAUAGCAGGGAUGAGAGGUAAGGGUGGUUGUAAUAGCAUGGAUGAGAGGUGAGGGUAGAUUAAAUAGCAGGGAUGAGAGGUGAGGGUGGUUGUAAUUGCAGGGAUGAGAGGUAAGGGUGGUUGUAAUAGCAGGGAUGAGAGGUGAGGGUGGUUGUAAUAGCAGGGAUGAGAGGUGAGGGUGGUUGUAAUAUCAGGGAUGAGGGGUGAGGGUGGUUGUAAUAUCAGGGAUGAGGGGUAAGGGUGGUUGUAAUAGCAGGGAUGAGAGGUGAGGGUGGUUGUAAUAGCAGGGAUGAGAG